rnacentral:lncRNA from 1 species
UCGUCACCUGUCCGGGCAUUACUUAAGCAAAUCUUGGUACUUGUUUCACAAAAAUAGAACUAUAUAAGGCUAAAAGCCGAUUUUAGCAUCAAAUUCAAUGAAGGAUCAUACAGGACAUCUUAGAAGAAAUAUUUAACUGGUUGAAAACACAAACAUACAUUCAUUGGGGAAUUGAUCCUCUCAUAUAUAAAUGUAAUCUCGAGAUAGUAAUGUAUAAUCUCCGACUAUCUAAAGAGAGAGAAAAGUAUCGGAUAAUUUGUUUUUUAAUUGUGAAUUAUCACAUUACUCUCUCAUGUAUUUGGAAAUUAUACAUGAGAAGAUUUAUCCCCGAUUCAUUGAGCACUAUUGUCAAAUAUCAAUUGGACUCCGAUGAUGUCGUGUAAAUCAUUUCCGGCUUUAUAUAGUUUUUGCUCCAUAGAUGAAAUUUAAGGUGAAGAGAUAGUACUUCAAUUUAAAAUAGAGAGAAUCUGACAUUUGUU